rnacentral:rRNA from 1 species
AGUGAACGCUGGCGGUAGGCCUAACACAUGCAAGUCGAACGGCAGCACAGUAAGAGCUUGCUCUUACGGGUGGCGAGUGGCGGACGGGUGAGGAAUACAUCGGAAUCUACUUUUUCGUGGGGGAUAACGUAGGGAAACUUACGCUAAUACCGCAUACGACCUACGGGUGAAAGCAGGGGAUCUUCGGACCUUGCGCGAUUGAAUGAGCCGAUGUCGGAUUAGCUAGUUGGCGGGGUAAAGGCCCACCAAGGCGACGAUCCGUAGCUGGUCUGAGAGGAUGAUCAGCCACACUGGAACUGAGACACGGUCCAGACUCCUACGGGAGGCAGCAGGGGGGAAUAUUGGACAAAGGGCGCAAGCCUGAUCCAGCCAUACCGCGUGGGUGAAGAAGGCCUUCGGGUUGUAAAGCCCUUUUGUUGGGAAAGAAAAGCAGCAGGUUAAUACCCCGCUGUUCUGACGGUACCCAAAGAAUAAGCACCGGCUAACUUCGUG